rnacentral:lncRNA from 1 species
AGAAUAAUAGCCCUUAUUUCCACAAAAGUUUCAUUGUUCUUCUUGGAAGUUUUAAAAAGAAUUUUUCGAAUAGUUUGAAGAAUAAAAAAUUUUCUUGUUAAUUUGUCAACUGCUUUAGGUAGAUGGACACGAAAUAUUUAAGGAUAGAGAAGGCAGGAGAGACUACAAACGCAUGAUAAGUGUUGUUAUGGAGCCUUCCACAGGCUUUGCAGGUUUGAUUAUUUGGCAUGUUUAAGUAUGUUCGGCAAGAAAUGACGGAAAUAAAUGUCAGCUGAUGUAACUGAUAAAAAAAAUGAAGGGAUAAUACUAAGUUGUAUUGGUCCCAAAAGAUCUACAUGAGGACCAUUUAAGUUACAACACAAGACAGUUGGAACAAGAAUGGGUCAGUUAUAGCAAAUAUUGUAUAAUUUCAACUUUGUAUCUAUAUUUUUUAUUUUGCUUUAUUGUUAAAUACCUACCUUUCACUUAGGACCAAUA